CGCGUAGGUGGUUUGUUAAGUUGGAUGUGAAAGCCCCGGGCUCAACCUGGGAACUGCAUCCAAAACUGGCAAGCUAGAGUACGGUAGAGGGUGGUGGAAUUUCCUGUGUAGCGGUGAAAUGCGUAGAUAUCGGGAGGAACACCAGUGGCGAAGGCGGCUUCCUGGCCGGAUACUGACGCUCAAGUGCGAAAGCUGGGGGGGCGAAAGG
rnacentral:rRNA from 1 species